UAAAACGCCGCGUUUACUAUUAGGGUAUGGCGUGUUCUUCUUUCCCGUCACCAGAACUGAUGGAGAUUAUAGUUGUGCAGACGAUCUUUCAUCUUCUUCCUUACAGUUCGAAACGAUACAAGUAACCGAAUUAUCCUCUUUAAACUCUCCAUUAAUGGUCAUCCACGAUCUACAAUCAAUGCGAAUUUUUGUUAUACAAGGCGGUGGAUUUCGACUAUAAAAAGUCUUCCUCUCUGAUUUGUAGAUUGUCCGCUCCUCUUCCACCGUUGAAGUUCGCUUGCUCUGUUUCUAAGAGGCCAGGAAACAAAUACGAUGUUGAUGUUAGUUUCUCUUUAAGAAACUAAACUGGUGCUGGUGUUAGUUUCUCUUUGGUCUCUUGAUUAAAAACUGUUUCUUGGUGAAACUUUGGACACCUUGAAGAGGGCGAUUUAUGUACGAGAUACAACUGCAAAAAGUAUGUUUGAAGCUAUUGAGAAUUCACUUGCAUUAUCUCCCAAACACAAAAGAACAGCAACACUCUCUAUACAGAGAUCAUGCGGAUAGAUCUCAGAGUUUGUUACUCAGAUUUCUAUCACUACUGCUGGAACUGGUAUCACUAAGCGGUUCACUGUGAUAUGUAGCCUUGCUUCAAGUCGUGUACCCUUUUGCACAAACAAGUUCUUCAACACUGGAGUUGGUUUCAGUUUGGUAAUAGUGUCUUGGGCUGUGGAUGGACUCAAGGAGAUGAUUACUUAAAGCAUGCCUUUUCAAUGGGUUAUGGCUUUUAAGUUAGCAAUGAGAACCAGAGUUAUAUCUGUGGAAGCAAAAGCUACGACCAGUAUUUUAUUUUCUAAUGGAAAACGUCUUAUUAUCCUUUGUAAAUUAUAUGUUUCUCCAAUGACCUGAAGAAUAUAUAAAUUGGUUUAUGUUUGUGAGAAUCAAGAACAAACAAAUACUUGAAAAUAAAACAUGUUUAGCCAA